UCCCAGGUGGCUCAGUGGUAUAGUAUCUGCCUAUCAAACAGAAGAUGCAGGUUCUAUCCCUGGGUUGGGAA
rfam:TPA: Bos taurus chromosome 1, whole genome shotgun sequence.